GGGCAACUCGCAAAGAUUGCAGGUAGCUGCUUGGCUGCUGCACCAGCUGCUGCAGUGGGAGCCAAUAGAUACAUGAGAGUGAAAUUCAGUAUCGAUCCGACGACGAGGGUGGAGAAGACGAAGUCGAGCUCGUUGAGACCGAAGUUGGGACGGGACGCCAUGUCUCCAAGAACACAAGAACUCACACCAACCAAUUCUUCCAUCAGAACCUUGAAAGGAAACUGUGGAUCUGCAGCAACUCUAGAUCUCCACCCUUUAAGAAACAAUCCCAACACUCCAAAACUUGAUGAAUUAUCAUCAUCCCCAUGAGUUCGAUCAUCACUCCAACCACCAUCACCAC
rnacentral:misc_RNA from 1 species